rnacentral:rRNA from 1 species
GAUGAACGCUGGCGGCGUGCCUAAUACAUGCAAGUCGAACGUGAAAAGGGGCAACCCUGAGUAAAGUGGCGUACUGGUGAGUAACACGUAGGUAAUCUACCCCAGAGUCUGGAAUAACCUGCCGAAAGGCGGGCUAAUACUGGAUAGAGCGACGGAAUCCGUAAUUGGGUUUUUCGGGAAAGGGAGGGAGCAAUCCCCCUUGCUCUGGGAUGAGCCUGCGUCCCAUCAGCUAGUUGGUAAGGUAACGGAGUACCAAGGCUUUGAAGGGUAGCUGGUCUGAGAGGAUGAUCAGCCACACUGGAACUGAAACACGGUCCAGACUCCUACGGGAGGCAGCAGUGGGGAAUCUUGCGCAAUGGACGAAAGUCUGACGCAGCCACGCCGCGUGAGUGAAGAAGGCCUUCGGGUUGUAAAGCUCUGUCGAGCGGGACGAAAAUCAUUAGGGUUAACAGCCCUAGUGCCUGACGGUACCGCUAAAGGAAGCACCGGCUAACUUCGUGCCAGCCGCCGCCGUAA